GGGAUCCCCAGACCUGUUUCUGGGGCCUCAGUCCGGCGGUACCUGUAACGGCCGGAGGGAGGCGGGGUGGUCUGCCCCUCGGGGCGCUUGCCCUCCUGAACUUGCAAGGAGACGACGCUGGCGAGAAUAUUAGCUAUCAGUCAGUUCCCUUAAAUAGCACCUUCGAACUUUUAGAAUUAAAAUUUAUUGACGGUCUAAAAGAAUGCCAUGUAAUUUUGGUGGCAUUGAAACUUUUUUUCCUCGGAUUAAUCUAACUUUGUCCUUUCUCCUUUAUUUCUCUGAGCUUGCAUCUUUUUUGCAGCUGACUGCAUUUAUCUUUUGAGCUUUGAACCCUGCCCCGGUGGAUAAGAGAUUUCAUGUAGGUAAACAGUCUCCGGAAAUAGAUGGGAGCUGCGAGCCAGCAGCUUGUCUGUUUGUGGUAACAGGCCCUGCCUGCGGGGCUGCAUCGGAGGCUGCAGGCGCCCCGUCUGCUGGAGCGGGGCGCUGACCUCCCCUCUGUGUCAGCCGCCCCGCAGGGGUGGUGCAUCCUCGCAACGUGCAAGGCAGGUCAUGUAAAGAAAUGAACUGGGUUCGGCCGGGCUUGACUGGGAACCCGGAGGAGGAGGAGUCUCAGCCCAGGGCGCUUGGUCCUCACCCGCGGCGCGCACUGCCUGGUGCCUCCUCGGGGCCGAACGACCACGUUAGCUCCGCCGUGCCUGCUGCCAUGGCUCUCAUUACAGUCAACGAGCUGUUAGCAUUUCCAUUGGGGGAUUUUUUUUUAAGGGUUAUAACCUAGUCAUGACAAUAAUUUGUUUUAGCUGAGACUCCGGUAACAGGAGGUCAAGCUAGAAGUGACAGGAGUGAAGACAAGUAGCUGCACACCCCGCAAGCGCUCCAAAGAAGCGGACGCGUGCACCAAGAGGAAUGGGUGAAUAACUAGAGCUGUCAAUCAAAUGACCUCACCCUGUCUGUCAAAGAGGCUCCUCCCAGCCAGGAGAUGAUAAAUGGACCCUCCCCUAAAAGUUCAGGGCCUUCAUCUACCUUGACUCUGGCCUGCUCCUCCCUUGGAGUGUCUGC